GAUGAAGAACGUAGCGAAAUGCGAUAAGUAAUGUGAAUUGCAGAAUUCAGUGAACCAUCGAAUCUUUGAACGCACAUUGCGCCCGGCAGUAAUCUGCCGGGCAUGCCUGUCCGAGCGUCAUUUCUCCCCUCGAGCGCAGCUUUCCCCCCCGGGGGAGGGCCGCGCCCGGUGUUGGGGCGCUACGGAGGAGCCCAGCGCUCCCCCGUAGGCCCCGAAAUGUAGUGGCGGUCCCGCCGCGGCGCCCCCUGCGUAGUAGUUUUACAACUCGCAUCGGGUCACGGCGGAGGCCAGCCGUCAAACCCCCCAACUUCAAUAGUUUGACCUCGGAUCAGGUAGGGUUACCCGCUGAACUUAAGCAUAUCAAUAAGCGGAGGA
rnacentral:misc_RNA from 1 species